rnacentral:rRNA from 1 species
UACGUAGGGGGCAAGCGUUGUCCGGAAUCAUUGGGCGUAAAGCGCGUGUAGGCGGUUCGAUAAGUCUGCUGUGAAAGUCCAGGGCUCAACCCUGGGAUGCCGGUGGAUACUGUCGGACUAGAGUACGGAAGAGGCGAGUGGAAUUCCCGGUGUAGCGGUGAAAUGCGCAGAUAUCGGGAGGAGCACCAAUUGCGAAGGCAGCUCGCUGGGACGUCACUGACGCUGAGACGCGAAAGCGUGGGGAGCAAACAGG